rnacentral:lncRNA from 1 species
GAGACAGCGCCGCCGGCCGUGGGGAGCGGACGCAGUGAUUUGCUCCCCCUCGUGCAGCAACCCCCACACCCAGCACCAGGAGCCUGUUCCUCUCACGCCCUCACCUGGCUGAGCCGCAGUAGUUCUUCAGUGGCAAGCUUUAUGUCCUGACCCAGCUAAAGCUGCCAGUUGAAGAACUGUUGCCCUCUGCCCCUGGCUUCGAGGAGGAGGAGGAGCUGCUUUCCCCAUCAUCUGGAAGGUGACAGAAAUGGGCUGGGAAGGUCCGGACAGCAGGGUGGAUGAUAACAUUUUGGGCAAGUUGGAGAGCCUUUGCCCAGAUUGGCCCGGCAAGGAGCGGUUUUAGAUUAGAGACACUGGCUGGAUUGAGGAGUAGAAGGCUCAAACAACCCAAGGAAGCUGUGUCUGUUCGAUUUGGUGGGAGGAGAUGUGCAGGGAGCUGUAUCUUGUCCUCCGCUUGUGAAAAACUCAAGGAUGUGGAGAAGAGUAGACCGUGGAACCCUGCUCUUCUGCAGCCAAGCUGAGGGGCAGGAUGCGUGUGGGACAGUGGUAGAGAAGCAGGGGAUAGACUCAUAGGCUGCAACAAAGGUCACUCUGUCCCUGGACACUGCCUCCGUACUUUCUCCUU